UGUGUUCCUGCUCGUCACUGGUUUAUGUUUUGCCACUCUUCCUUUUUAUUAGCUUAGCUUGAUCCCUAAGUUUCGUGUCGACCAGUUUUUUUGAAUCAGCUUUUCUGUUAAUAAAGCUAUUAAGAGUUGCCUCCAUUUUGCUCUGCAUGUUGGUCUUGGUGAAAGCAAUCCCCCUUCUUCCUCUACAGAACUAAUAUAUAUAUUGAUCUGUAUGUUAACAUGAUAACAACAGUAAACUUCAUUGAUCACACAGUGAAAUCCUCAACCUACCUGGCAGUUUUCAGCUUCAACAUUAAGAGUGCUCACCUCCCCUUUGCUGUUGAAGCCGAGGAUCUCGAAGCUGAUGCUGGAGGUGCGUCCGGUCUGGAUCUCGUGCAGGUGUCUGAAGAGGUUGAGCCGCGCUCGGCCUCGCCCGUUGUCCAGCUCGCCCUGCGUCAGGACGCCCAGCAGCGUCGACUUCCCCGAGUCCACGUUCCCCAGAACCGCCACCCGCAGGUCCAGGAACUGUCCCAGUCCAAAACAACAUGACGCAGGAGAGGGGUCACAGUCUACUCUCUACUAUAAGCCUGUUUAAAGGGAAGGCCUGCUGCUGCCUGCAGGUCUUGAGCGAGGCCCUCAUGUCGGCCUCGGUCAGGCCCACUAGAAGCCCGUUGUCCUCCACUCCAAUCUGAUAGACGGCCUCGCCGCGGCCCUCCUGCAGACGCCACUUCAGCUGCGUGGCCAGAUGCUCGAAGCGGUACUGGGUGGGAUUCACCAGCUUCAACUACAACAACAGCACCGAGAGAUGCAUUAUGGUACGGCAGGCUUCACCUACCUUGGGAUAAAAUUCUCACCAGACCUGACAGAGCUAUGGAAGCUUAACUUCUCUCCCAUAGCAAGUAAAAUAAAGAAGGACCUAGAUAGAUGGCACGAUCUACCCUUAUCCCUUAUGGGGCGCAUUAGCCUAAUCAAAAUGAAUGUAUUCCCCAGGUUAUUAUAUCCCCUACAAAUGCUACCCCUGUGGAUCUCCAAGAAGGUUGCUCUUGAUAUAGAGAGGGCAUUCUCUAGGUUCAUAUGGCAUGGCAAGAGGCCCAGACAGAAAAUGAAAACAUUACAGCUACCCUCAGACAGGGGAGGCCUGGGCCUGCCGAACAGAACUCUCUAUAACUGGGCAUGUCACGCUCGCUUCUAUGGGAAUGGUUACAUGCUCAUCUCGAAUCCAAGCCCUGUCUAGAUUCGUGGUCCGCUUUGCCGUCCUCACUUUGGAGCUUGGUCAUGGGUGAUAAGAAAAAGCUACAUAGGGAUGUCAAGAAUAACCCAAUUAUAUACAACACAAUUAGAGUGUGGCAAGAAAUCUGUAAAUGUAUGGGCAGAGGAGGUCAUACCUCAUGCCUGACCCCUCUUACGAGGAACCAGGAUUUCCCCCCAGGUCUCCUUCCCAAUAUUUUUGACAUGUGGCAUGGCAAUGGGGCGCGUGUGAUUGGAGACCUAUACGACAAUAGGAUGUUAAUGACUUUCCAACAACUGCAGUCCAAAUUCAGUAUUCCCACAAAACAUCAUUUUGGCUUUCUCCAGGUCAGGCACUUUGUUGGAUCCAGGACCUUACUCUCUCUUGACCCAGUCAUGUACAGUGAUGUUGAGAGGUUCCUUAUUUCCCGUAAAGGUCUCACCUGUUUUAUCUCUUCCUUCUAUGCACUGCUAUACUCUCUUAGUCCAGGUCAUAUCACAAGCAUUGCACAGAAAUGGGAGAAAGAUCUUGACACAGAGUAUAUUGAGGAUGACUGGCAGGAGGCCAUUGUAGUAUUUAAAUCCACCUUUACAUGUAAUAGAUUGAGAGACACAGUAUAAAAUAUCACACCGUCUACACCUGACUCCUUACAUACUAAAUAAGAUGGACCGUCAGGUUUCACCUCUGUAUCAAGUGUCAUAGAGGGGUAGGAACAUAUUACCAUUACUUCUGGCAAUGCAAAUUGAUAAAAAGAUUUUGGGGAACGAUCUCACAGGAACGGCAUCUUUCAAGCAAAGGUGAAGAGGGACCCUGGCCUUUUCAUCCUCGGCCUCCCCUCAAAGGAGGUGACUCUAACCCGUUUGAAGUUCAAACUAUGCGACAAAUUACUACUAUUGGCCAGAAAAUGUAUUUUAAUUAACUGGAUCAAUGAUAAACCACCUACUGUCACCUUAUGGUAUAGGGAAAUAUUCCGAGUCCUCCCCCAUGAACGACUUAGUGCAGUUGUGAAGGGUAAUGAGGGGUCCUUUAGUGAGGUGUGGGCUCCUCUGCUCAACUAUCUACCUGACGAAUUGACUCAUCUAGUGAUGAGGGGCCAGUCUUCCUUACAAUGGCCACGCCCACCUGAUAUAAAUCCGUAAGGGUCUUUUCUUACAGUGUGGCACUUACUGCUUGAUGUAUCACUGUUUACUGUUUACUUGAUGUAUCACUGUUUAUUGUGGGAUGCUGAUGUGACUGGGACUACAUUAUUGGGAGAUGUGUGUGUAUAUAGAGCAAUAUGAGGAGGGUGCCUGCUUGCACUGCGGGGGCAGAUGGGGGGCAGUUAACUGGAAGGUUUGCCUGCUAAGGAUAGA